AGUGCAUUAAAUUCUGGGAAUGGGAAGGGUUUCUAGAGUCCUGUGCAAGUAUGAUGGAGCUUGUGCCAUAGAAAUUGAAUAACAGAUGAGUGGACCGAAUGGUACAUUGGUAUUCUUGAAUUAAGAGAAUGGCUUCUUGAGUUUGGAGAAUGAGUUUCAAAGGAAUAUUUCUAUAAAAGUACAAAUUGAAUAAUCUGAAGGCAUCUGCCCUAGCACCAUUAAGAUUGAAUAUUCAUCUGUGAAUCUUUUUUUCCCUUUAGGAGGCAAUAUUAUAUGAGAGAUCAUACAAGAAGAAGAUGGGAGGCUGGGAUGAUAAGACUAGAAAAGAACUGAGCAUUGGAGAAGCAAGCCCUGGACAAUACAUAUGGUGACCUAUUUGAAAGCAAUUGGUCAUCUCAUGGCUUUAUAAAGACUUGCAUGCUGGUUAA